rnacentral:rRNA from 1 species
CCUACGGGGUGCAGCAGUGAGGAAUAUUGGUCAAUGGGCGCGAGCCUGAACCAGCCAAGUCGCGUGAGGGAAGACGGUCCUAUGGAUUGUAAACCUCUUUUGUCGGGGAGCAAAAGACGCCACGCGUGGCGUUCCGAGAGUACCCGAAGAAAAAGCAUCGGCUAACUCCGUGCCAGCAGCCGCGGUAAUACGGAGGAUGCGAGCGUUAUCCGGAUUUAUUGGGUUUAAAGGGUGCGCAGGCGGAAGAUGAAGUCAGCGGUAAAAUUGAGAGGCUCAACCUCUUCGAGCCGUUGAAACUGGUUGUCUUGAGUGAGCGAGAAGUAUGCGGAAUGCGUGGUGUAGCGGUGAAAUGCAUAGAUAUCACGAAGAACUCCGAUUGCGAAGGCAGCAUACCGGCGCUCAACUGACGCUCAUGCACGAAAGUGUGGGUAUCGAACAGGAUUAGAUACCCCAGUAGUC